rnacentral:rRNA from 1 species
CAAUAGCGUAUAUUAUUGAUGUUGCAGUUGAAACGUUCGUAGUCGAAGUUUGUCUGCUUAGGUGUUGUCGCGUCCAAGACGCCUCCGCUCCGUCAGCAGAGAUUGCAGCUCUGGCGUGCGUUUCGUGCGGCUGUGUUGCGGGUUACUUUGAGUGAAUCGGCGUGUUCCACGCAGGCGUUUGCCUUGAACGAUUUACCAUAGUAUAGGUAGAAUAUGGAGGUAUUCUUUCGUGUGUUCGGGAGUACUUUCGAAACGGAAAAGAACGGUCGAGGGCAUUCGUAUUCAACUGCUAGAGGUGAAAUUCUUUGAUUGGUUGAGGACGGACUAUUGCGAAAGCAUCUGCCAAGUACGUUUCUUUUGA